CAGGGAAUAGUUUAAUGUAGAAUUUCAGCUUUGGGUGCUGAUGGUGGAGUGUAGUGCUUCUUCCUUGA
rnacentral:tRNA from 1 species